AUCGCUUCUCGGCCUUUUGGCUAAGAUCAAGUGUAGUAUCAAACAUGUGCCUUUCACUUUCUAAGCGUGGGACUGAUGUCAAUCAAUAAUGAAUGUUGCUCCUGAUGCAAUUUUUGUUAAACCCGA
rnacentral:snRNA from 1 species